GCUUGUGUGUUUCUUACUUGAUUCAUCUGUGCAUGUUUGCUUAUGUGUGCCUUUGUGCAUUUAUCAUCAUUACUUGUAUAUCAUUUCAUAAACAUUGUUCAUCACUUUGUAAUAUUUUGUUUUGUCCAUGGAGGAGGCAAGCAUAAGUCCAUUGAUUGGUAGUUGUUUCCUGUGAUAUGGUAGGAGACUAGUAUAAGUCCAUUGAUUGGCAUCCGGUAUC
rnacentral:lncRNA from 1 species